CUGUACUUGGAGAUAUUGGUGUUUAUUUGCAACAAGAGGUUAUUGGCUGGCCAGCUUUACCUUUGCGGGAUUUUUGCUAGAUACCUUUUAGCUAUUCACAUGAAUGUUAGUCUGUACAUCCCUUGUCAUUCUACGGAUUUUAUUCUUUAGGAUUUUUGCGAGAUACCUCUUAGCUAUUCACGUGAAUGUUAGUCUAUACAUCCCUUGUCAUUCUGAGGAUUUUAUUCUUUAUUGAUCUUCUUCAUUAAAGAAGUUCAAGUUGCUUGACCAAAUCACUUGUAAGUUCUACUUGGCAUCUAUGUCCAGUAUGAGCCCAAGGCAUGUGGUGCUCUACUUAACGUAGCAUUGGUAAUCUUCCAAAAUUCUUUUUCAUGCAUCUGUUCCUCAAGACCGUCUUUCAGUUGGAUCAGUUUUAGUGGAGUACAUAAAGAGCGUUUUUGCUGGAUCUAACUCCUAGUGUUACAAUUUCUUGUGUGGUCUCAUCUAUUGCACAUAAAAAUCUUGAAACUUUUGCUCUGGAAUUUUUAAAAGGAAAAUAUAUCAUUUAUCUAAGAUUGACCUGUAAUUGUGUAUUAAACUGCUAUGACUGGUGUCCUUGCUUCUUUCCCUUGAAAUGAGGUCAUCUUCAAUCACUUUUUAACUGCUAUCUAAUUUGUGGUCAUCAUCACUUUAUCUUUUUAACUCUGCAUACAUGAGCUUCGCAAUGCAUAACUGGUCCCGAGCAUACAGUAGGAAUGUUGUGGUUGGUGAUAGGUUGACCGCCUGUGUGAAAAUAGUAAUAUCAGUAUAAAUCCACUGAAUUCUAUCUGGAAUAAUCUAGUCAAUACAGAGUAUCCAUUUAACUGAUCCUCAAACUAAUUUGUGAGGUGUAGUUGAUUGAUUGAUCAAUCACUUCAUCUUUUUGAUUCUUAAACCACCGUACCUGGCAGUAGAAAUUUCCAUGCACAUUAAGGCUCAUGGCUCGCUUUGUUAUCCUUCUUUAUGAAAUUUUGAGAAAUCCAUGAUAAUCUAGCUGCCCUCUGACAGAUUAAAAAGUACUUCAAGGAGAUGGGAGAGACAUCUGAUGUGAAAUACAUUGAUCCUACUUGCAUGAUCCAUCCAUGCCGUGCAAAUGCUUCAGAUGGAAUUCUGUGCACAGUACUUGGACAAAAUGCUGUAAGUCUCUCAUGCCUCACUUAUUGAUUAAUUCAACUUCCCCUUCACAUGAUUCGUGCAUGCCGUGCAAAUGCUUCAGAUGGAAUUCUGUGCACGGUACUUGGACAAAA
rnacentral:lncRNA from 1 species